GUGGACUAUUCAUUUGUUGGAGAGGCUUGUAGCUACAGUGAUGACAUAAUCUAUAUGGAGUGAUCGUCCUCCAUGGAUUUCAGACGGUUAAAGCACAGGCUGGUGAUGCAGUCACAAGUGGCUCUGUGACGUUCCAGUUGUCUGUCAGCGUCGCUAUGGCUCCAGCAGUGCAGAUUCUGGUCUACAGCGUUCUUCCCAGUGAGAAUGUAGUUGCUGCUAGUGUUCCGUUUGACACCGAUAUGUGUUUCCAGAACCAGGUGUCUCUGCAGUUUUCUCCAGCUACGGCUGUUCCUGCGGAGGGAAACGUUCUGAUGGUUUCUGCUCAAGCAGGAUCUCUGUGUAGCGUCAGUGCUGUAGAUCAGAGUGUCCGGAUCAUGGAGCCAGGAAGACGUCUGAGUGCCUCAAUCAGGUUUUUUGUUUGGGUUUUUAAUCUGAAUAUUUCAGUGUGUGGCACUUCUGAUUAGAAUGCCACUUCAGUUUACUCCAGUGUCUUAAGUACAAGGGCCUGAAUUUUUAUCGCAACUUCAGUGUCGGUAUGUCUGUUAGUUUGAUUCUUGCUCUAGAAAUUGGUACAUGACUUAAAGAUAAAAUGAAAAAAUGUAGGCUUGUGUUGUAAUGGGCUAUACUAGCUUUUGUUACUGAA